UACAUAGGUGGCAAGCGUUGUCCGGAAUUAUUGGGCGUAAAGCGCGCGCAGGCGGUCCUUUAAGUCUGAUGUGAAAGCCCACGGCUCAACCGUGGAGGGUCAUUGGAAACUGGGGGACUUGAGUACAGAAGAGAAGAGUGGAAUUCCACGUGUAGCGGUGAAAUGCGUAGAGAUGUGGAGGAACACCAGUGGCGAAGGCGACUCUUUGGUCUGUAACUGACGCUGAGGCGCGAAAGCGUGGGGAGCAAACAGG
rnacentral:rRNA from 1 species